rnacentral:rRNA from 1 species
GGAUCAUUAAAGAGUGUAAAAACUCCCAAACCCAUGUGAACAUACCUAUCGUUGCUUCGGCAGGUCGCUCGACUGCCGGGAGGAACGCCCCUCGGGGCCGCCCUGCCCGGGAGCCCGCGCGCCUGCCGGUGGCCCCGGAAACUCUGUUUAUACUGAAUCUCUGAAUCAUAACUAAAUAAGUUAAAACUUUCAACAACGGAUCUCUUGGUUCUGGCAUCGAUGAAGAACGCAGCGAAAUGCGAUAAGUAAUGUGAAUUGCAGAAUUCAGUGAAUCAUCGAAUCUUUGAACGCACAUUGCGCCCGCCAGUAUUCUGGCGGGCAUGCCUGUUCGAGCGUCAUUUCAACCCUCAAGCCCCUGUUGCUUGGCGUUGGGAGCCUACGCGCCAGCGUAGCUCCUCAAAGUGAGUGGCGGAGUCGGUUCAAACUCUAGGUGUAGUAAGUCUAUUCUCGCCUCUGCAGUUGGGCCGCCCCCUGCCGUAAAACACCCCAAUUUCUAAAGGUUGACCUCGGAUCAGGUAGGAAUACCCGCUGAACUUAAGCAUAUCAAUAAGCGGAGGAAAAGAAACCAACAGGGAUUGCCCUAGUAACGGCGAGUGAAGCGGCAACAGCUCAAAUUUGAAAUCUGGCCCUCGGGUCCGAGUUGUAAUUUGUAGAGGAUGCUUUUGGCGCGGUGCCUUCCGAGUUCCCUGGAACGGGACGCCUUAGAGGGUGAGAGCCCCGUACGGUUGGACACCAAGCCUCUGUAAAGCUCCUUCGACGAGUCGAGUAGUUUGGGAAUGCUGCUCUAAAUGGGAGGUAAAUUUCUUCUAAAGCUAAAUAUUGGCCAGAGACCGAUAGCGCACAAGUAGAGUGAUCGAAAGAUGAAAAGCACUUUGAAAAGAGGGUUAAAUAGCACGUGAAAUUGUUGAAAGGGAAGCGUUUGCGACCAGACCUUUUCCUGGCGGAUCAUCCGGUGUUCUCACCGGUGCACUUCGCCAGGUUGAGGCCAGCAUCGGUUUCCGCAGGGGGAUAAAAGCUUGGGGAAUGUGGCUCCUCCGGGAGUGUUAUAGCCCCUCGCAUAAUGCCCUUGCGGGGACCGAGGACCGC